rnacentral:rRNA from 1 species
UGGGGAAUAUUGGACAAUGGGCGAAAGCCUGAUCCAGCCAUGCCGCGUGUGUGAAGAAGGUCUUCGGAUUGUAAAGCACUUUAAGUUGGGAGGAAGGGCAGUAAGCGAAUACCUUGCUGUUUUGACGUUACCGACAGAAUAAGCACCGGCUAACUCUGUGCCAGCAGCCGCGGUAAUACAGUGGGUGCAAGCGUUAAUCGGAAUUACUGGGCGUAAAGCGCGCGUAGGUGGUUCGUUAAGUUGAAUGUGAAAGCCCCGGGCUCAACCUGAGAACUGCAUCCAAAACUGGCGAGCUAGAGUAGGGCAGAGGGGGGUGAAAAUUCCUGUGUAGCGGUGAAAUGCGUAGAUAUAGGAAGGAACACCAGGGGGGAAGGCGACCACCUGGGGUCAUACUGACACUGAGGUGCGAAAGCGUGGGGAGCAAACAGG